CUUUAUUAAUUUUUUAUAUAUAAUUUAUAUUAAAUAUAAAAAUAUAUUUUUUAAAUAAAAAGACGAUAAGACCCUAUUAAAUUUUACUUAUAGUUUAACUGGGGAAGUUUUAAAAAUAAAAUUUUUUAUAAAAAUAAAAAUAAAUCUAAUAAAAUUAAAAUUAAAUUAAAUUACUAUAGGGAUAACAGCAUUAUAUUUUUUAAAAGUUCAUAUUAAAAAAAAUGAUUGUGACCUCGAUGUUGAAUUAUAUUUUCUUUAUUAAUGCAAUAAUUAUAAAAGUAGAUCUGUUCGAUCUUUAAAAUAUUACAUGAUUUGAGUUCAAACCGGUGUAAACCAGGUUGGUUUCUAUCUUUUUAUAAAUUCAUAUAUAUAUGUAUAUAUAUAUAUAUAUAUAUAUAAAUUUUUCAAGUACGAAAGGAAAAAAAAAUUUUUAUUUUAAUUAAUUAGCAAUUAAUAUGCAUUAGAUUUAGAAUCUAAAUAAACUAUU
rnacentral:misc_RNA from 1 species